CCUAGAGGAUCCUGGCUGGGGGCUACUAGUUGCUGGCAGGAGGCCGGGAGGCGGAGAGGGCUCAGAUAAAGAUCAAGGUCAAUGAAAGCAGAAGCAACAAAUACAAGCUAGUCGGGACAGAGAGAAAAGGAGGGCAGAAAACACCCAGAGAGGAGGAGACGAGACCCCCUUCAGACCCCUCAGGCUGCGAGGAGACACGGCUCAGCCUAGAGCUCCCUCUCUGGGGGCAGAAACGUGAGGCACCCACAGGGCAGAAGAGGAGUAAGAAACUUAUUAACAAGAGCACAUUAUUCGUAGCAGUGACUGAGAACCAAAUUCCUGGCAAAGCUUGAACAACUGUGGCAAAAACCUGCCCGGAGUGCUUCCUGCCUUCUCACUGAGAUUCAGAAUAAACACUUCCUGAAGCCUUGUCGUCACCACACAAUGUGUAGGAGCUUCUAUAUACAGUGGAUUCUCAUUAGUCCCAGUAGUUAUGUUCUAUACAGUCACUGCAAACACUCACUGAGCUAGCAAAUACCGAACCAUUGUUUCACGGGGAAUUGCAGGGUUAAGUUCCUGAGAGCCCCUGCUUACAUUUUCAUCAACCCAUCAAUACACAACCUCCUUUUAUGUAUGCGUGCUUGUGUUUCCUUAAUAGAUACUGCUGAUCCAUUAACAUCAAAUUCACGGCUGAGGGGCACUAUAACUCACACCUGAACCAAACCUACCUUACACCUGUAUUUUCUCUCAAGGCACAUCACAGCACUCUUGUGCUUAGAACAGUAGACAGCACUUCAG